rnacentral:rRNA from 1 species
AACGAACGCUGGCGGCAUGCCUAACACAUGCAAGUCGAACGAAACCUUCGGUUCUAGUGGCUCACGGGUGCGUAACGCGUUGGAACCUGCCCUUGUGUUCGGAAUAACUCCCCGGAAGGGGUUCUAAUACCGGAUACUGUCUUCGGACCAAAGAUUUAUCGCCUUUGGAUGGGGCCGCGUUUGAUUAGCUAGGUGGUAGGGUAAAAGCCUACCAAGGCGACGAUCCAUAGCUGGUCUGAGAGGAGGCUCAGCCACACUGGGACUGAGACACGGCCCAGACUCCUACGGGAGGCAGCAGUGGGGAAUAUUGGACAAUGGGCGAAAGGCUGAUCCAGCAAUGCCGCGUGAGUGAUGAAGGCCUUAGGGUUGUAAAGCUCUUUUACCCGGGAUGAUAAUGACAGUACCGGGAGAAUAAGCUCCGGCUAACUACGUG